UGGAUUGCACAAAAACAGACGAGUCAGCAGAACGCAGUCACACUUUGCGGCCUGUUGGCACAGUGACAGAACCUCCGCAUAAACAUUUCAUCAAACCGGAGGGGACGCCGUCUGCCAGCUCUUAAAUCUUUAAAUGUUGCUAUUUCUUACCAUAAGGGCAGGAAGCCGACGUUUCCCGUGGCGAUCCCCGCCGUGUCGCUGGCCUACUUCCUGUUGGCCCCCGACCGCGGUUCUCUCCCCCAGGCAUGGACGACGUCGAUGUCAGUGUGAUCAUCCUCGACGGUAGCAAACACAGACGCAGAUGCAGCAGAGCAGCAUGACAACCACAAACGUUGCACCUCCGGCUAUCAAAACGGCCGCAUCUGCUUGAUCUACAAGAAGAGUCCUCAAGUCAGCUCUUGGGCGCCCCCACACUGUUGGAGGACUCACAGCGAUACAUCCCCGAGUCCACUUUGGAAACACUUUUCAACUUCUGUUCCAGGACACAAGAAGAGGAACAGCUGUGUCUGCACUUGUGCUUUCUGCGUGAGGUCACAGCAGCGCACACGUGCGGGCAUCUGUUAGCACGUGUUAGUUAGCGCUCACCAGCGUUCCUUUGUGAGAGUCCAUGCUGUACGCCAUGUUGCUGGAGGACAUCAGGACCUUGUUGUCUUUGUACCAGCUGUACUUGGCGGGGGGGACACUCUGCUGGUCUUUGCACAGAAGCUCCAAGUCAGAGCCCACAAACACGGACUGGGGAACCUCGCAUGAAGGGAUGUGAGGAGGCACUGCUUGGCGGGAAGGACAUCGAUCUUACUAACGGCCAAAAGGAGCAGUGACACAAAGUGUGUCCCCGCUUCUUCCAUGCAAAUCCUAUUUUGUUUGUAUUGAACACACAGUGUCCAUCCAUUUUUCUACCGCUUAUUCCCUUUGGGGUUGCGGGGGGAGCUGGUGCCUAUCUUAGCUAUAAUCGGGCAGAAGGCGGUGUACACCCUGGACAAGUCGCCACCUCAUCGCAGGGCCAACACAGAUAGACAGACAACAUUCACACUCACAUUCACACACUAGGGCCAAUUAAGUGUUGCCAAUCAACCUAUCCCCAGGUGCAUGUUUUUGGAAGUGGAAGCCAGAGUACCCGGAGGGAAGCCAUGCAGUCACUUGGAGGACAUGCAAACUCCAUAUACAUAUUUAUAUAUAUAUAUAUAUAUAUAUA